rnacentral:hammerhead_ribozyme from 1 species
AUCCAGUUGAAAAGUACCAAAUAGAAUGAAACGCGCGUCCUAGAU